CAGGACCUGGCCGAGACUGUGGA
rnacentral:piRNA from 1 species